AGAGUUUGAUCCUGGCUCAGAUUGAACGCUGGCGGUAUGCUUAACACAUGCAAGUCGAACGGUAACAGGCAGAGUUUGUUUUGUGUUGACGAGUGGUGGAUGGGUGAGUAAUGCGUAGGAAUCUGCCUAGUAGUGGGGGAUAACUCGAGGAAAUUCGAGUUAAUAUUGUAUAUGUUUUAUGGGGGAAAGCGGGGGAUUUUUGGAUCUCGCGCUAUUAGAUGAGCCUGCGUUGGAUUAGCUUGUUGGUGAGGUAAUGGUUUACCAAGGUGAUGAUCCAUAGCUGGUCUGAGAGGAUGAUUAGCCACAUUGGGACUGAGAUAUGGCCCAGAUUUCUACGGGAGGUAGUAGUGGGGAAUAUUGGAUAAUGGGGGUAAUUUUGAUUUAGUAAUACCGCGUGUGUGAAGAAGGCCUGCGGGUUGUAAAGUAUUUUUAAUUGUGAAGAAAAGCUUAGGGUUAAUAACCUUGAGUUUUGAUGUUAAUUUUAGAAGAAGCACCGGCUAACUCCGUGUUAGUAGUUGUGGUAAUACGGAGGGUGCAAGCGUUAAUCGGAAUUACUGGGCGUAAAGCGCGCGUAGGUGGUUUGGUAAGUCAGAUGUGAAAGCCUUGGGUUUAGUUUGGGAAUUGCAUUUGAAAUUGUUUGAUUAGAGUAUGGUAGAGGGAAGUGGAAUUUUGGGUGUAGUGGUGAAAUGUGUAGAUAUUUGGAGGAAUAUUAGUGGUGAAGGUGAUUUUUUGGAUUAAUACUGAUACUGAGGUGCGAAAGCGUGGGUAGUAAACAGGAUUAGAUAUCCUGGUAGUUCACGCUGUAAAUGAUGUCAACUAGCCGUUGGACUUAUUAUAAGGGUUUAGUGGCGCAGUUAAUGCGAUAAGUUGACCGCCUGGGGAGUACGGCCGUAAGGUUAAAACUCAAAGGAAUUGAUGGGGGUUUGUAUAAGUGGUGGAGUAUGUGGUUUAAUUUGAUGCAAUGUGAAGAAUUUUACCAGCCCUUGACAUCCUGGAAAUUUAUUAGAGAUAGUUUGGUGUUUUUGGGAAUCCAGUGAUAGGUGCUGUAUGGCUGUCGUCAGCUCGUGUUGUGAGAUGUUGGGUUAAGUUUUGUAAUGAGUGUAACCCUUAUCCCUAGUUGCCAGCAUGUAAUGGUGGGAACUUUAGGGAGACUGCCGGUGAUAAACCGGAGGAAGGUGGGGAUGACGUCAAGUCAUCAUGGCCCUUAUGGGCUGGGUUAUACACGUGCUACAAUGGCCGGUAUAGAGGGUUGCAAACCCGUGAGGGGGAGCUAAUCUCAGAAAAUCGGUCGUAGUCCGGAUUGGAGUCUGUAAUUUGACUCCAUGAAGUCGGAAUUGUUAGUAAUUGUGAAUUAGAAUGUUGUGGUGAAUAUGUUUU
rnacentral:rRNA from 1 species